CAGCAGCAGUUAAAGGGGUUUUACAGGAUUUUAAUAUGGAUGACCUAUCCUCAGGGUUGGUCAUCAAUAUCAGAUCAGUGGGGGUCUGACACCCGCUCGCUCCCUCGCACAUCAGCUGGUUGAAGGAAAGGCCACACUCCAUACGAGUGCAG